AUGACUUAAAAGGUGAGUACUUGUUUCUUUUUUAUGUUAAUAAGUGACACUGAAGCUGGAAGAACAGAGGACUCUGUAGGAUCACACAGCCAGGGACAAGCCAGUAGCUUAAGUUUUCUUAACCCUUUGACAUCUGCUAUACUACUCAGUAGUGAGUCCUGGCAUCCAUUAUAGCAGUAUGGAAACACUGGCAGACACUUGGCUUAUUUAUCACCUUUUGGUACAACAAUAAGCUAUGCCAUAUGCAAAGACUGUGUAUGAGGAAUAUGUAUCUGAUUAUGUAUAGAUAGAUUAAGAGCAAUGCGGGGAUUAAAGGCGUGUGCCACCACGCCCGCCACUCCAUCUUUUCAUUCACACGUUUCUCCUCAGCCCAUUCUUUCUCCAGAACCUGCCCGUUCUGCAUGGUGUUCUUUGAUCCUCUCAGUCCUGAUGCUCGCGACCGGGAACACCUGCUCCAAGCUGCUGUGACAUUCACAUUCAGACCCUUACUUGGAAGGCUACCCUCUCUAGUAUCUGGCCAGCUGCAAACUGUUGGGGAAUCAAGGGGAUCUCUCUCUCCCUUCCUCUCCCCAAAAGUUUUUGGUACACCAUUCCCAACUUUUUUUCACAACUUCAUUUGCUCUUGAGACAUCACAAUCCCUGACUGCCUAACAAUCUGGUCUCAACCUCUUCCACACCCCUGUAACUCACCUUGACAUUUCCUGCUGUUCUGAUGGCUUCUCACAUUUAUAGUCCGUGUGAGCCUCAGAAAGGUAAGUUUUGUGCAGUUCCAAGCUUCUCCUACUUGAACGAAUCGGGAGCAGGCGCUUUUUUGUUUUGUUUUGUUUUGUUUUUCUAUAAAAGCAGGACAGAGAGAUUUCUCAUUAUUCCAGGGAAACAUCCCCUCACUAGUACAAGAGUACAUUUGCAAACCAGCCUUUCAAAGAGCUAUUUCAAAAGCAAUAAGCAAGUGGUUCCAUGGUGAGGAUUACAAACACACCCUCAGGGUCAGUCAAGGGUGAGGAGGACAGUUCUACUAUGACAAGACACAUUGGGCCAGACUCCUUUGGAGAGUGUCAGACAUACAUCUUUAAAGUGCUGUAUCACAAACAGCUUAGAUGCAAGCAAAGGAGAGCUACUUAAAGAAACUAGGUGUAGAUAUCAUGAAGGUGUUGAUACACAAGAUGCUUGUGGAGAAUUUGAAGCUAAUUGUUAACUUAAUGUGAGAAUGGGGAAAAGCAAUAUUUUGUAUUAUUGUAAUAUAUAUAUUGUUAUUUUAAAAUAAGCAUGUAUAAUUAAAUAAAUUAGAUAUUAUAAAUAGA
rnacentral:lncRNA from 1 species